AUGGGUCUCUGGCUCCUCUGCUGGGUAGCCAUCUGUCUCCUAGGGACAGGUCCAGUGGAUUCUGGAGUGACUCAGACUCCAAGACACAUGAUCAAAGCUCGAGGCCAGCAGGUGACGCUGAACUGUUUCCCCAUCUCUGGUCACCUCUCCGUGUCCUGGUACCAGCAGGCCCAGGGCCAGGGCCCCCAGUUCCUCAUUCAGUAUUACAACGAGAAAGAGAACUACAAAGGUGAUGUCCCCGUGGGCUUCUCGGGCCGACAGUUCUCUGACUACCACUCAGAAGUGAACCUCAGUGCCCUGCACUCGGCCGUGUUCCUCUGUGCCAGCAGCAACAGGGAAGGUCUCAACCCCAAUAGUGUAGCCUGGGCCUCAGGGGACCACAAACCCACAAGUUUGUGGACUCACUCCCAGUUCCCUGCCUGGCCCUCCUCCGUACACCGAGGAGAGGAAGAGAUUAACACUGUAUAG